CAACGAAAAAAUUUCACCGACGCCCAAAUUUUUUAAAAUUAUGUUUCGUAUAUCUUUUGGUUCCUUUAAUAUCCUUUCGUAUACACCCUUCCAUAUUUACAUCUCGAUUCCAGUUGAAAAACCUAUUUUCAACAUUAGUAGUUUGCGUUCUUGGAGAUUUCUGUGAAAUCGAUGGGGAGAAUCGAUGAAGAUCAUCAUCAACAGUUAAAUCAGCAGAUUAAAUUAUCAGAAACGAACGCGUAGAUAAGUUUCUUCUAGCGUUAUCAAGUUUUUGUUUUUCUGAUAAAUGAUUUUACGAUUUCGAAAAAUUUAAAAUUUUGAUUACAACUCAAUUUCUUGAUCAGAGCAAAGAUCUAAUCUCGAUCUCUCUUUUGAGAAAAAAAAGUUCCAAAAAGUUUAGCAUUUUUUUAGGGUUCUUGACUGAAAUUUUGAUUUAUCUUCCAAUUUAUUAUCUUUAUCAAAAAUCUAUCUUCAUAUUGGAAUUCAGGGCACCUAAAUCUCUGUUACUCAUGGAAUCAUUUUGAAUUUGGUGAAUUUUUAAUUUUCGAGGUUUUAUGGAAUUUUUAAGGAUUUAAUUUGAUUGAUUAAGUAAGUGGUUUUGUGUUUAAGGUGAAGAGAAAUGCAAUGACAAAGGUGAGAUGGAUAGAUCAUUACCAACUAAGUAUGAAGAUGUAUCUUUAAUGCUAUUACUGACGAUGUUUGACUUGUUUAAAGAUUGUGAUGGUGGCUGGUAGUGACAUUCUAGUUGACGAUGAAAAAGUAAUUGUACAUUUUUGUAAUUGCAAGACUUUUUUUUUUUUUUUUGUAGUAUAAGGAUUUUUGGAAGUUCAUUUUUCUUGUUUUUUAGUGUUUGGUGUUUAUAUUGCGCAUUUUCUGUAAUGGUUGCAUAAUCUGUUAUGUAGUCACUAAAAUGGUUGCAUAACCUAUUAUGCACUAGAGAAAAUGGUUGCAAAAGACAUUAUGGAACCUUUUAUUUU